AACCACUUGUGCCACCAGGGAAGCCCAGAGGGGACUUCUUUUUAAGAGAUGCAAUGUGGGGACUCUUUCCUAAAAUUAAAUUUAUUCAAUUUGAAGGACUUCAAUCUUAGAUCAUGGUCCUUUCAUAUUACAGUACUAAAGUUUCCCUUUUUAUAUGAAACAAAGAUAAAAAGAGACUGGGUGUGUUCAAUGUCUUUACUGGACUGGGGGUGGGAGGGAGUUGGCAAUUCUCUGUUAGUCCUCAAAUUAUUUUUGGAAACCUUGCUAGUUCAUGAAAUGCCAAGGUAAGGUAACGAGUGGGCCACUUAGAACUUGGCUGUGAAAGUACAUUGAACCUACAACCACACAUCGCAGUGACUUUCACUUUCAUGCAACAAAGGUGUUGACACCAGCCCAUCCUCUGCUCGCGAUGUCUACCACUUCCUCGGUAUGACACUGACCAUAGGUGAAGUUUUCACAGUGUGUUUCUAAUUCAUUCCCACACUGACCUGGGCUACAUUUUAAACAAAUUUUUCACUCCUAAAUGCUUUGUUGGAGUCUCCUUUCUUGGAAAGACUUCAGAAUCACUGGGUCCCCACAUCCACAUAGCAUCCUGAUGCACUGGGGUUAGGAGAAGCGGAAGCAGUACUUGUUUCAAAUGACAGCAAUGGCCUCAGCCAACUUCCCCGUACACUGGCCUGUUUUUCAUGAUGGGAUGCUAAUUUCAAACCAGAGAGUCUAUUCAGUCAAGAAAUGAAAAACUCCUCAUGUGACAGCAGGGCUGUUUAAAAUCAGAGCGACACAGUCUACCCUGAUCGCACACACAUGGGGCUCUGAAGUCAUUAAAGAAAAAAUUACACCAAUUCUGGGCACCAGAGCUGUCUGAGAGUUCAAAAGCUUAGAUUGUCAUGUGCUUUUUGCUAUUAUGCGUGUGGAGAAGAUCUUUUCAUCUUUUUUUUGUUUUUUUCAGUUGGUCAGAGAAAAUAGGUGGUGCUUUUCCGUAAACCAACUUGAACAAAAAUUGGAAACAAGUUUUUCAGAAAUGAUAUCACUUCUGACAAAAGAACUCAAAAAGCCAGUGGUCUGAAGGUUGUUUUACGUUCUGAGGACAUUGCUGUUGGUGUAACUCAGCCGCACGGGUGCUCUCACACACCUGAUCCUGGCUCACCAAGGGGAGAUUCAAAGCCUACACUCUGUACAACAGCAGGCAAGGGCUCGUACAUUUUAGAAAGGCUUCAUUAUGAAGUAUUCAAAACGAAGGGACCAGUGGCCCCCCAGAGAAGGCUUCCGUGCCCCUGCCAACUCCAGAGCAGGAUGGAACCGGGAGGGCUGAUGAGAGCAGAGAGUUGCCCUUGUCUUCUCUGAUGACGUAGCAGAGGAUGGGAAAUGAGAUCCAAUUGCAGUGAGGAGGAAGGAUGAAGAUGCAGCUCAUCGUGCACUCCUAACUCAUUCUUGAAAGACAAGCCUGAGCGAGCAGAUUUCUGACCAGAGAAACCCAGCUGGACCACCUAGGCAGCAGUCAGGAGAUGGCAGGGCUGUUUUGUGUAUGUUUUUUGUUUGCUUGCUCAGUUUUUAAUGGAAAAAAUGUUGUAUUUUUCUGUGCUUUCUGUGCUUUCAAAGUUUGUUAGCAUUAAAAAUCUAUUCCUUUUGUUAGAAAAAUAAACUAUGAAUAUUUUAAUAAUAGCUCAAACAUUGAAUUUGAUAACUAC